AACAUUGCAGAUUACUUUGUCUCAGUCAUGUCAUAAAUGACAUCAUUCCUGGAACCCUACAUAAACGGACUCAUUUUUGGGCCUGUAGUCAUUUACAUGUAAAGGCAAUUCCAUAGCAGUUUGACUGAUGGCAUGCCACACUUUUUUUGACUUCUGGUUUCCUGAAAUCUGAAUUCUGAAGGGUCAGUUUCUGAACUCUCUAUGUUUGAAAUUAAACUAUUGUUUUGUGAAAUUAGAGUAUUGUUUUGUUUGUUGGAAAGUGUAUAAGAGGUGUUUACAGUAUUUGUAUGGCUUAACGAAAAUGAUGAAAAGCUAUUGGAAGCUGUGGAUUAGAAGAUUACAGUUGAAUAUGGAAUCAGAAAAUUUACAACCAUUGGUUCUUUAUGCACA